UACGUAGGGGGCUAGCGUUGUCCGGAAUCAUUGGGCGUAAAGCGCGUGUAGGCGGCCCGGUAAGUCCGCUGUGAAAGUCGGGGGGCUCAACCCUCGGAUGCCGGUGGAUACUGUCGGGCUAGAGUGCGGAAGAGGCGAGUGGAAUUCCUGGUGUAGCGGUGAAAUGCGCAGAUAUCAGGAGGAACACCAAUUGCGAAGGCAGCUCGCUGGGACGUUACUGACGCUGAGACGCGAAAGCGUGGGGAGGCAAACAGG
rnacentral:rRNA from 1 species